CAGCCAGACCAAUCAAGUGUUGACCAAGAUUUUGAGAAGCUAGGAGAAUGAACAAUCUGGAAGAACAAGCCAAGAUAGUUAACGCAACAGAGCAACGGGCGCCACAAUCUGACAUGGCAGCAGCAUCCGCCGCAAUGGACGGAGUGGCAGCGGCGGCUCUUCGCUCCGUGCUCCAGCUGGUCCAGCAAGCAGCGGAGCGGGCUGGGCACGACUCCCAGCAGAUCCGAGUAGUGGCCGUCAGUAAGACCAAACCGGUGUCUGUUAUCCGCCAAGUCUACGACGCCGGCCAUCGGUUUUUCGGCGAAAACUACGUUCAAGAAAUCGUCGAAAAAGCUCCUCAGCUUCCGGGGGACAUAGAGUGGCAUUUCAUUGGGAAUUUACAGAGCAAUAAAGCGAAACCUCUACUUGCGGGUGUACCAAACCUUGCGAUGGUAGAAAGUGUAGAUGAUGAGAAGAUUGCCAAUCAUCUUGAUCGUGUGGUUGGAAAUUUGGGCCGGAAACGUUUGAAGGUCUUAAUCCAAGUAAAUACCAGUGGAGAAGAAUGUGAGUAAUUCAAGUCAUGUUCGCAGUGAACUUCUUUAACUGUUGCAUCUUCAAUUUUUGAACUUUUGCCUUAAUCAAUUAUGGUACCUUGUUAUUGCUUAACGUAAUGAACUUUAGUUUUAAAGUAUCAUUACCUUUGUGGAAGCUUAUGUAGUGAAGGAAUGUGGAACGUGCCCAAAUGAAUUUGGCUGAAUUUUGGGAUUAUAGUAACAGUUAUAAUUUAGCUAUGUUUUUCCAUCAUGUUGAUUUUUGGAAUGAUAACAUCAACCAACAUAUAAAUGGUCUGAAUUUGUGUUUAGUGAUUAGUUGUUAUAUUUUUGUAGUUGAUUUUACCUAUGAGAGCCUAACUUUACUAAAUGCCUGCUAUCAAUCAUGCAAAAAGGUUAUUGUUGAUUUUGUAACAGAAGAGUCUCACAGGAUGUGUUUCAUCUGGUCGGUUUACACAGCUUGUUGACACAGGACAUUUCCUUAGGUUAUGCACUUGAUGAAAGAUUUCGAUAUCUCAAAUUCUAUUUUGAUGUUGCUUUUAAUAUCAUAAAUUUACUAUUUGGGAGUUUUCUUUUUCCAUAACACUGUGCAUUCUAGCAUUUGCUCACAAUGCAUAUUGUCGAUCACUUUCUUACCCUUUAAUAAUUCGGCACUGCCAAUAUAUUGCUUGGAAUCAAACCCAUACCGACCAAACAAUCUAAUAAUUGUAUUUGUACUAAUCAGGGUGGGCACCAUUCUACUUUUGGAGUAGAGUGUGUCCCUAAUUACCAAAAUUUGAGUUCUUUCUGUGGAGAUUUCUUUUGAACUACUAUUUAAUAGACAAUCCUGCUCAGGUGGUCAUUGAUUUGGUGGCUUCUGCUAUUGUUUGAUCUCUGUCAUAUUGUUGCAGCAAAAUCUGGGGUUGAGCCCUCAGCAUGUGUGGAACUAGCAAAACAUGUGAAUCAGAAUUGCCAAAACCUUGAGUUUUGUGGCCUAAUGACAAUUGGAAUGCUUGACUAUUCAUCAACCCCAGAAAACUUCAAGGUGAUAGCUUGGCGUUUUUCUUUCAAUUUUAUCUUUACAUCCUUUUAUUUCAUCUUCAUUCCCCUGGCAUUCUUUGUGCAUAAGCUUUAUAAUUAUAGACUAUAUGAUGUUGCCAGACAUUAGCGAACUGCAGAAGUGAGGUUUGCAAGGCACUUGGUAUGCCAGAAGAACAAUGUGAACUCUCAAUGGGCAUGUCUAAUGACUUUGAGCAAGCUGUAAGCAAUUCUGCCUUAUCCAAUAUUAAGCUGAACUCUCAAUGGGCAUUUCUAAUGACUUUGAACUGUCUAUGCAUUUCUAAUCAAGGCUAUGAAAAUUGUGGCGCCAUGGUAUAUAGUGGUACACAGUUCGUUAGGAGAUAACGCAACUAACAAGUGAGCUUUUUUGGCAGAUCGAAAUGGGAAGUACCAAUGUGAGAAUUGGAUCUACUAUAUUUGGGCCUAGAGAAUACCCGAAGAAGCAAUAAAACAAGGCUGCCCUUUGCUUGCUUCCUUCUUCUGUCCUCACUGGGAAGGCUCUGGGCAUGUUUCAUCUGUCGUUCUGGAAGAAGCCUACCCUGCUUUAUUGAUAUUUAAUGGCCAGAAAUGUCUAACAAACUGUUUCAUAUGUAGAUUGAACGGCAAAAUAAUAACACUCUGUACUUGAAAUGUUCACUAUAUUAUACAUGGAAGUAAUCUUGAUUUAGGAGUGUUAGUUUGACUUUGAUCUGAGCCGUUAGACAACUACUAAAAUAAUUAAUAUUGUCUAAUAUAGCUUAAAUCAAGGCACAUACGAAAAC
rnacentral:misc_RNA from 1 species